rnacentral:rRNA from 1 species
GACGAACGCUGGCGGCGUGCCUAAUACAUGCAAGUAGAACGCACAGUUUAUACCGUAGCUUGCUACACCAUAGACUGUGAGUUGCGAACGGGUGAGUAACGCGUAGGUAACCUGCCUGGUAGCGGGGGAUAACUAUUGGAAACGAUAGCUAAUACCGCAUAAUAUUAAUUAUUGCAUGAUAAUUAAUUGAAAGGUGCAAUUGCACCACUACCAGAUGGACCUGCGUUGUAUUAGCUAGUAGGUGAGGUAACGGCUCACCUAGGCGACGAUACAUAGCCGACCGGAGAGGGUGGUCGGCCACACUGGGACGGAGACACGGCACAGACGCCUACGGGAGGCAGCAGUAGGGAAUCUUCGGCAAUGGACGAAAGUCUGACCGAGCAACGCCGCGUGAGUGAAGAAGGUUGUCGGAUCGUAAAGCUCGGUUGUAAGAGAAGAACGGGUGUGAGAGUGGAAAGUUCACACUGUGACGGUAUCCGAUCAGAAAGGGACGGCUAACUACGUG